UUUCUUUUUUUUUUCAAUUUUCAGGUUUUAUUUGAUGUUGAUAUUGAAGUUGAUAAAUGUCCAGAGAAAGAGGCUGACAGGAAACGUACUUUUAACAUCCAUCCUGUUGGUCUGGUCAAUAAUCUAACCAUCCACCUUGAGUUGCUCUGUGAGUGUGAAUGUCAGAAUGAAACGACUAAGGUAACUCAGGAAUGCAGUGGUAAAGGCAUAAAAAAGUGCGGUGCCUGUAUUUGUCAGGAAAACUAUGUUGGUCGUAACUGUGAAUGCGAUCGAGAGAAUAUUACUAAUCAGGCUCUUGAUGAACUAUGUAGGAACCCGGAAAGUGGACUAAUAUGCUCUGACCGAGGCCAGUGUGUGUGCGGUGUGUGUUCCUGUGACAACAUCAAAUCUAGUAAGGACCGAUUCUUUUCUGAGCAGUACUGCCAAUGUGAUGAUUACUCUUGUGACAUCAUUGAUGGUAAACUCUGUGGAGGUAAGCACUUUUGUUACUCUUUUG